rnacentral:rRNA from 1 species
AAGGCAACGCCUGCCCAGUGAACAUUAAACGGCCGCGGUACCCUAACCGUGCAAAGGUAGCGUAAUCAUUUGUCUAUUAAUUGUAGACCCGUAUGAAAGGCAAAAUGAGAGUCUAACUGUCUCUUGUAAUAGAUCAAUUAAACUGAUCUCCUAGUACAAAAGCUAGGAUACUAACAUAAGACCAGAAGACCCUGUGAAGCUUUAACUAACCCAUUAAACCAAAUAAUGACUACUUUCGGUUGGGGCGACCUUGGAAAAAAAGAAAACUUCCAAACAACAUGAUUAUACUCAUACCCAUUAGGCCAACAAGCCACUAUAAGACCCAGUAUAGCUGACAAAUGAACCAAGUUACUCCAGGGAUAACAGCGCUAUCUUCUUCAAGAGUCCAUAUCAAAAAGAAGGUUUACGACCUCGAUGUUGGAUCAGGACAUCCUGGUGGUGCAGCCGCUACCAAGGGUUCGUUUGUUCAACG